CACACACCAGAGGGCAAACCUAUGACAGUGUGGGUUUCAUUGUAGAUGGUGGUUGCCUGGCAACCAAGGCCAGAGUUUAGAAGGUAGAAGGAAAGAGGGACUCAGAAAGACAACUGUGGGCAGGACAUCUCUGUUCCCAUCCUUCCUUGAAAACUGAGCUAGCCCCUAGAACCCAGGGCCAACCCAGGAGAGGAACCAAGAGCAUCUACUGAGAUCCUCAUGAUCAAAAGUGCCCACAAGUCCCUGAUCACCACGAAUCUAGGCUACUUAAGCCUAAAGAUGGUCCUGAGUUCAGUUCCCAGCAACCACAUGGUGGCUCACAACCACCCGUAAUGAGUGCGUCUGAAGACAGCUACAGUGGAUUACUCAGCUGGAGAAAGUGUGGCCGGAGAGAGCGGGGCCGUCCUGAGUCAAAUUCCCAGCAGCCACAUGAUAGCUCACAGCCAUUUGUACAGCUACAGUGUACUCAUACACAUAAAAUAAAAAAAUAAAUCUUUAAAAAAUUAUUUUUAAAAAGAUGUCAGUCCAUAGUUCUUGUUGUUUUCCUCCCUUUUUAAGACAAGGUCUCCCUAUAUAACUGCUCAUCCUGGAACUCAUUACAUAGACCAGAUUGGGCUUGAACUCAC